rnacentral:rRNA from 1 species
AUUGAACGCUAGCGGCAUGCUUUACACAUGCAAGUCGAACGGUAGCGCGGCCUUCGGUCUUGCCGCGUGUCGCACACGGGUGUGUUAUGUAUCGGAACGUGCCCACGAGCGGGGGAUAUCUACGCGAGAGUGUAUCUAAUACCGCAUACGCUCUGCGGGGGAGCGCGGGGGCUCGUGAGACCUUGCACUAUUGGAGCGCCCGAUGUCAGAUUAGCUAGUUGGUGGGGUAACGGCUCACCAAGGCGACGAUCCGUAGCUGGUUUGAGAGGACGACCAGCCACACUGGGACUGAGACACGGCCCAGACUCCUACGGGAGGCAGCAGUGGGGAAUUUUGGACAAUGGGCGCAAGCCUGAUCCAGCAAUCCCGCGUGUGGGAUGAAGGCCUUCGGGUUGUAAAGCACUUUUGUAAGGAAAGAAACGGCGCGGGCUAAUACCCCGUGGAACUGACGGUACCUGAAGAAUAAGCACCGGCUAACUACGUG